rnacentral:rRNA from 1 species
AGCGAACGCUGGCGGCAGGCUUAACACAUGCAAGUCGAGCGGGCACUUCGGUGUCAGCGGCAGACGGGUGAGUAACACGUGGGAACGUGCCCUUCGGUUCGGAAUAACUCAGGGAAACUUGAGCUACUACCGGAUACGCCCUUUUGGGGAAAGGUUGACCGCCGAAGGAUCGGCCCGCGUCUGAUUAGCUUGUUGGUGGGGUAACGGCCUACCAAGGCGACGAUCAGUAGCUGGUCUGAGAGGAUGAUCAGCCACACUGGGACUGAGACACGGCCCAGACUCCUACGGGAGGCAGCAGUGGGGAAUAUUGGACAAUGGGCGCAAGCCUGAUCCAGCCAUGCCGCGUGAGUGAUGAAGGCCUUAGGGUUGUAAAGCUCUUUUGUCCGGGACGAUAAUGACGGUACCGGAAGAAUAAGCCCCGGCUAACUUCGCGCCAGCCGCCGCAGUAACAC